AACGUAGGAGACGAACGUUAUCCGGAGUUACUGGGCGUAAAGGGCGUGUAGGCGGUUUGUUAAGUCUGGCGUGAAAGCUCUCGGCUAAACCGGGAGAGGUCGUUGGAUAAUGGCGAACUGGAGGAUGGUAGAGGCGUGUGGAAUUCCGGGUGUAGUGGUGAAAUGCGUAGAGAUCCGGAGGAACACCAGUGGCGAAGGCGACACGCUGGGCCAUACCUGACGCUAAAGCGCGACAGCAUGGGGAGCAAACGGG
rnacentral:rRNA from 1 species